rnacentral:rRNA from 1 species
UUACCACUUUGUGAUUCAUGACUGGGGUGAAGUCGUAACAAGGUAACCGUAGGGGAACCUGCGGUUGGAUCACCUCCUUACCU